CAAGAGUGCAUGAAGCAAGAGUGAUCGAGCGAGUGGUAGAUGAUUAGGGUAGCCUAGAUGGAUGUAUAUUCAUGGUUCCGACGAAGCCUCUCUAGAACUACAAAGACCACCACCACCACCACAACUGUUACUGCUCAACCGGACGACGAACUACUCUACGGCGUCACUGACCAAUUACUCGAUUUUAUCAAAUCCUUCUCCAUUGACACCUUUCGAAAUUUCUCUCUCCCAGAUGAGGACGAUGGAGAUGCACCCGAGAAUGUACGGAAAGAUCUAUCCGAUUGGCAACAGCGUCAUGCUUUGCUUGUUCUCUCCAAACUCAAGGAACUCUCACAAUUGAGGUUCAAAUUAUGUCCCCGUUUUUUAAAGGAUCACCAAUUUUGGACGAUAUAUUUUGCUCUCGUUAAGGGUUUUGUUGCCAAAUAUGAGCUACGUGCUAUACAAUUAGAUAAGCUCAAACAGAUGAGCUUAGAAAGUGAAAAUACACCAGAUGUUGCUGCAUGCGAAGUUGAGAUGUCUGAAGCGAAGAAAACAACAGAUCUAUCGCCUACAAUAUCUGAGGAGCACAAUUAGUAUCUCCUUUGGAUAUGUCACUAGUUAUCAGAUUUCAGCACAAUGAUUCAGGCUCGCGGGAAGACGUUUCACUAAGUUUCUUUGCUUUCAAUAUUGUGAUCUUAUGUCCUUCACAGAUGGUGCUGACGUCUUUGCCGCGUUGCUGACAAUCGGUGCAAGUUACAAGAAGGAGGCCAGUUGCUUUGCGUUUCUUUAAAAAAACGACUACAAAUUAUUCAUGACCACAGUUGUUUUCAUGUAUCAAACUACCACAAAGAAUUUGAGGAAAACGAAGUCUUAAGGUUCUUGUUUUCUGUUUAAGUCUCAUACUUAGUUCAUGAUAAAAUGCC